rnacentral:rRNA from 1 species
AUUGAACGCUGGCGGCAUGCUUUACACAUGCAAGUCGAACGGCAGCACGGGGGCAACCCUGGUGGCGAGUGGCGAACGGGUGAGUAAUAUAUCGGAACGUACCCGGAAAUGGGGGAUAACGUAGCGAAAGUUACGCUAAUACCGCAUAUGCCCUAAGGGGGAAAGCGGGGGACUCGCAAGAACCUCGCGUUUUCGGAGCGGCCGAUAUCGGAUUAGCUAGUAGGUGAGGUAAAGGCUCACCUAGGCGACGAUCCGUAGCUGGUCUGAGAGGACGACCAGCCACACUGGAACUGAGACACGGUCCAGACUCCUACGGGAGGCAGCAGUGGGGAAUUUUGGACAAUGGGCGCAAGCCUGAUCCAGCCAUGCCGCGUGAGUGAAGAAGGCCUUCGGGUUGUAAAGCUCUUCUAGCCAGAAAGAAAU